rnacentral:rRNA from 2 species
GAAGCUUGCUUCUAUGACGUUAGCGGCGGACGGGUGAGUAACACGUGGGCAACCUGCCUGUAAGACUGGGAUAACUUCGGGAAACCGAAGCUAAUACCGGAUAGGAUCUUCUCCUUCAUGGGAGAUGAUUGAAAGAUGGUUUCGGCUAUCACUUACAGAUGGGCCCGCGGUGCAUUAGCUAGUUGGUGAGGUAACGGCUCACCAAGGCAACGAUGCAUAGCCGACCUGAGAGGGUGAUCGGCCACACUGGGACUGAGACACGGCCCAGACUCCUACGGGAGGCAGCAGUAGGGAAUCUUCCGCAAUGGACGAAAGUCUGACGGAGCAACGCCGCGUGAGUGAUGAAGGCUUUCGGGUCGUAAAACUCUGUUGUUAGGGAAGAACAAGUACAAGAGUAACUGCUUGUACCUUGACGGUACCUAACCAGAAAGCCACGGCUAACUACGUGCCAGCAGCCGCGGUAAUACGUAGGUGGCAAGCGUUAUCCGGAAUUAUUGGGCGUAAAGCGCGCGCAGGCGGUUUCUUAAGUCUGAUGUGAAAGCCCACGGCUCAACCGUGGAGGGUCAUUGGAAACUGGGGAACUUGAGUGCAGAAGAGAAAAGCGGAAUUCCACGUGUAGCGGUGAAAUGCGUAGAGAUGUGGAGGAACACCAGUGGCGAAGGCGGCUUUUUGGUCUGUAACUGACGCUGAGGCGCGAAA